UCUCCAUUUCACACACUCUCUCACCGGUCAGAGAAGCGAGAGAGUGUGUGAAAUGAAGACGA
rfam:Pristionchus pacificus strain PS312 contig4995, whole genome shotgun sequence.